UGGGGUUGUAGCUCAGAGGGAGAGAGCACUCGCCUAUCAUGCGUAAGGCGCUGGGUUCGAUCCUCAGCACCACAA
rnacentral:tRNA from 1 species